AACAUUCAAUAAUUAAAAUUAUUAUAUAACAUUAUUUGACAAUAUUAUUAGAUAUUAAAUUAAAAUUGUGUGAGUAGCCUGCAUUACACAAUGUUAUAGGCAACAGAUUCUUCUCUAGAUAGAAACAAAAUAGAAGACGGCAGAAACGUCCUUUGCUCCGGGCCGGUUAGUGGAAUCUGGCACCCUCAAAGGGCUUGGCCGAUUGCUAAACGGAAUAUUGGAGUCGCAAGCAAAUGUAAAAACGUUUUGGUGACUAUUGAUAUUUGACAUGCAAAUAAAUCUGUAUGACAUGUUAAAAAAAUCAAUUUGUCCAGUAAUCACCAACAACAACUGCGAUUGGCUCCUCCUGGCCUGAGCGGAGAAAAGUAACAGAUCGCAGAUGACAGGGCUUUUAUUUUUUAUUCUUUUAUAAUUUUUUUUAUUUAUUUUAUUUAUUUAUUUGCUACUUAAGCAGGGGUCGGGACAAUAAUUUAUAUCGGAAUAAUUACGCUCUUUCAACAUUUUUUUAACUAAUUAAAUAAAAAAACGUAGCAUUUAACCCCGCCCAUUUUAAGGUGCUCGCUCUGAUUGGUCAUUCGCUAGGGAAGUGACAACACACAUCAUGUUUUAAUAUGGCAGCGUCCUUGUAAAUGUUGCCAGUAGCCUGAAUAAAAUUUUGCAGAUGGAUCCUGUAAUGUGGAACCGGCGUGCGUCGCUGAUCUAUGCUGUUGGCGUUUGGACCUUGUUUGGUUACGCAUAUUACAAAUACACGUACAGAGACGAUCUUCCAGUUGAAAUGCCCGUCGAAGAGGAAGACAACAGACCUAAUGUGAAGAAAUAUGUAACGACAUACUCGAAAACCACCAUUGUCCAAAGGGAGAAUUUUGUGCCUUUCUCCACAAGGUUUUUAAACCUCUUCAGAUCUACAAAUGAAAGUUCUCCAGAGAGUGAAAAACAUGAAGAAGAGAAAUAAACUGACCGUUUUUUUUUUUUUUUCCUGACAAAAAGAUGAACUGUCAUGUUUUAAACAUAUGAAUGUUUUGGGACAAUUCAACUCAAAUGCAGUUUUAAUUAAAGAGAAUCAAGUUUCCUGGCAAUCAAAAUAUAUGCCUUGCAUCUUAAAGAUCAUCUUUUGGAUCAGUCAACACUUCUAGAGAAAUGAAUAUUGUGUUCACAGUAUAUGUUAAGUUAAAUGGCACCUGAAAUCCCAAGCUUUUUAAAAAAAAAACUGUCCAGAAAAUAUAACGGAUGAUGAACUUCUUUCUAAA